GCGUGGAAAGUUGCGAACCCAUCCGGAAUCUUGACAGGUUUCUUAACCUAUUAUACCAUUCAACUUUAACUAUUUUUAUUUCGUUUCGCAGUGAAGAGCGGCAAUUUUCGCAGAGGAAAAAGUUGCUCCUUAUUAAAAAACGCGUUGAUUGAGUCUAUUUUUAUCGAAUUCUAAGGCGGAGCCCCUAAACUGGAUAAUUACCAAAAACUUUUAGUAUUACUGCCAGUAAUGACAACCAAAGUAAGGACUACAAGAAGACUUCAACAAGGGAAGAAGAAAAAACAAGAAGAAACAGUUACUCAAGAACCACCAAAAUCUUUUCCCUGUUAGCGACAAACAACUUGUUUUAUUUGAGUCUCAUAACAGUGAAAUCAAGAUGGCACGAGUAUGUUGUGUACCAGGAUGUUCGACAGAGAAGACAGCCAUCGCAUAAAUUCCCACGAAAUGCUGAACGUAGGCUACAAUGGUUCAAGAAUUUGAAAAUGGAGCCAGUGGAGGGACCUGAGGAGAAAAA